GCUAAAGUGAGCUAGCUAACAUCGUCAGGCCCUGCCAAGUAAUAAUGGACAACUUUUCCAGGAACUGUGCAAUAAUACUCACCUUUGCACAUUGAAGGCCUGCCAUUGGGUGACAGGAGCUAUAUAGCUAUGCCUACUCAGUCGGUUACAUUUACACUACGGAGACUUUUGAUAGCUGGGUUCAGCAGCUGCUCGUCUUCAACACAGUGUCGACGUUUUUGGGUAACUUUUUUGUAACUACGUUUUGAUUUCCGCAUUUCUAGACUUUUUUGUAACUACCUUUUGAUUUCCGCAUUUCUAGACUUUUUUGUAACUACCUUUUGAUUUCCGCAUUUCUAUACUUUUUUUGUAACUACGUUUUGAUUUCCGCAUUUUAUACUUGUUUUACUGUUAGGUGUUGUAGCACCAUCUUCUGGAGAUGUGUCGGAUUGCUCACCAGGGAACUGCUGUCAGGAUCCCAGUUUGUCUUUACACGGUGCACACAGGCGAGUCCGACAGCAGUCCAGUUCCAUCUGCGCUGCCCUGCAACAGAAAAAUAGGACCGUCUUUAGGACUACUAGGCGCUUCUAUUGAAUAGCCAUUGUUUUGGUUGUAAAGAAAUUCCCUUUUCAUUAUUUUUUAUUUUCUCAUAAUGUCUGCCACUGAAGAGAGGUAAGAAUUCCUGAUAUUAUUGAUGGUAUAAUUUGCGGAGCAGAUUGAUUACAUGAUUUGGACAACAUUUAGCAAAUAUAUUAAUUAAUAUUGCAAACUUAAUGUAUGGUGAAAUAUGCUGCUGUCUAAAAACAGGAAUAUCUUACUUUCUACAGAGCAACAACACUUUUGCAGCUAUUCUGUUGGUGUAAUUCCUACAAUAAUUAAUGCUGUUUUUUUUAAGGUCCCAUGUUGGUGUCGUAUAUGGGCUGCUCCAAACGCCAGGCUCCAGGGCCUCUGUGGUGCUCCUGAUGCCCCUCACCCACCGCUGAAGAUCCCAGGUGGGCGAGGGACUGGCAGGGAUCCCCCUCUCCAUGUGCUCCUUCACAAAGUGAGUCCCUAUAGGGCCCCAUCCCAGUAGCCAAACAAUAUAUUCUUCCUCCAUUGAAGUUAUCAAUCA
rnacentral:lncRNA from 1 species